GCUCGCUUCGGCAGCACAUAACUAAAUUGGAACAUCAAGAGCAAGAUAGCAUGGCCCCUGCGCAAGGAUGACACGCAAAUUCGUGAGGCGUUCCUAUUUUGC